rnacentral:rRNA from 1 species
GACGAACGCUGGCGGCGUGCUUAACACAUGCAAGUCGAACGGAAAGGCCCCCUUGUGGGGUACUCGAGUGGCGAACGGGUGAGUAACACGUGAGUAACCUACCCUUGACUUUGGGAUAACUUCAGGAAACUGGGGCUAAUACCGGAUAGGAGCUCCUGCUGCAUGGGGGGGGUUGGAAAGUUUCGGCGGUUGGGGAUGGACUCGCGGCUUAUCAGCUUGUUGGUGGGGUAGUGGCUCACCAAGGCUUUGACGGGUAGCCGGCCUGAGAGGGUGACCGGCCACAUUGGGACUGCGAUACGGCCCAGACUCCUACGGGAGGCAGCAGUGGGGAAUAUUGCACAAUGGGCGGAAGCCUGAUGCAGCAACGCCGCGUGCGGGAUGACGGCCUUCGGGUUGUAAACCGCUUUCGCCUGUGACGAAGCGUGAGUGACGGUAAUGGGUAAAGAAGCACCGGCUAACUACGUG